rnacentral:rRNA from 1 species
AACCUGGUUGGGUGGUCUGCCUUCACGGUACGUACUGCUUGGCCGGGUUCUACCUCUUGGUGAGCCAGCAUGCCCUUCACUGGGUGUGUCGGGGAACCAGGACUUUUACUGUGAAAAAAUUAGAGUGUUUAAAGCAGGCUUACGCUUGAAUACAUUAGCAUGGAAUAAUAGAAUAGGACU